GCCGAGGUGGUGAAAUUGGUAGACACACUGCUUUAAGGGGGCAGCGGGAGAAAUCCCAUAGGGGUUCGAGUCCCCUCCUCGGCACCA
rnacentral:tRNA from 1 species